GGUCAAGAAAUUUUCUGAUAAUUAUGUAUCAGAAAAAAUUACCUCCUUUUUACUUAGAUCUUCUAUCAUAUGGUGGGAUGAAGAAGCAUUAUAGCCUAACAAAGGAAGGAUCCAGAUAUCCAAAGACAGAGGUACAGAUUGUCUUAGGAAAAGAGAAGAACAAUUGGAAAUAUCAGAAAGCAAGAACAAGAAAAAAAAAGAAAACUGGCUUUCUCAGAUGACCAAAAGAAGGAAUGAGAGCUCAACAUAACUGCAGCAUUUGGUUAGAGAGUAUUAAUAUCUGGAUUUUGAAAGACAAUUUAAAGUAAAAAUGUUCCCGUCCAUGAAGAUUCACAUUGCAACUGCAGCCACAAGGGCACUCAUUACCUUUCUCACCUUAUGGAGGCUCAAGUGUGACAUCAUCGUGGUCGUGGUUCUUAGGGAAGUGGCAUUCAUUACCUCAAGAAAAAGAAGGAU